UACGGGGGGAGCAAGCGUUGUUCGGAUUUACUGGGCGUAAAGGGCGCGUAGGCGGCCACCGCAAGUCGACUGUGAAAUCUCCGGGCUUAACCCGGAAAGGUCAGCCGAUACUGCGGGGCUAGAGUGCAGAAGGGGCAACUGGGAAUCCUCGGUGUAGCGGUGAAAUGCGUAGAUAUCGAGAGGAACACCUGCGGCGAAGGCGGGUUGCUGGGCUGACACGUGACGCUGGAUGCGCGAAAGCUAGGGGAGCGAACG
rnacentral:rRNA from 1 species